rnacentral:sRNA from 1 species
CAACAAUCGAAAGGAGGUGAUCCAGUGUCUCAUUGUCAUAGCCCGCGGUCUGAGGGUGAUACGGCCUGGAUGCUCGCCUCUGGUGAGGUCUAGGGCGCAUCAACGCCCAUUAGCGGUCCUCUUGAGACCGCGGCCGACAAUGGAAGGGCUGCCCCACGCGGGGCGGCCCU